CGUCUAGGCGGAUCAGUUAGUCGGCUGUGAAAGCCCCCGGCUUAACCGGGGAAGUGCAGCCGAAACUGCUGGUCUUGAGGUCGAGAGGGGAGAGUGGAACUCCUGGUGGAGCGGUGAAAUGCGUAGAUAUCAGGAGGAACGCCGGUGGCGAAAGCGACUCUCUGGCUCGAUUCUGACGCUGAAGCGCGAAAGCUAGGGGAGCGAACG
rnacentral:rRNA from 1 species